UACGAAGGGGGCUAGCGUUGCUCGGAUUGACUGGGCGUAAAGGGCGCGUAGGCGGUUCGUACAGUCAGACGUGAAAUUCCUGGGCUCAACCUGGGGGCUGCGUUUGAUACGUGCGGACUUGAGUGCGGAAGAGGGUCGUGGAAUUCCCAGUGUAGAGGUGAAAUUCGUAGAUAUUGGGAAGAACACCGGUGGCGAAAGCACUCUGCUGGGCCGACACUGACACUGAGAGACGAAAGCUAGGGGAGCGAGUGGG
rnacentral:rRNA from 1 species